GCAUGACCUGACCUAAUCUGUCAGUCUAAUUUCGGUUACAAAAUGUAGGGUUUGAUGGUUUCUACCUUUAACUUUAACUAACUAGUGUUCUGAUCAGGUUAAGAAUCAGAGCCAAAACUCAAUCUCCACCGCCCAGGACUACUGGACUUCUCAAAAGGGUUAGGGCAUGUUGUGGAGGUAAAUCCUGAUAUGGUGUGUGAUUUCAUCUGACACAGAUAAGAUGAUUAGCUGUCGGAGGUACAGGUUGGAGCUGGAAUGCACUGCCUGACCCUUAAGAUAUGGUUCUGCAAGUUGGAUCUGAUAACUUUUUUUUUCCUUCAAAAUCUUUAAUGCCAACCCAACACACAACACACAACAAGGUGGAUUCCUGCAGAGACUGUGGAUGAAGUUGCAGAUAUAUGUCCAGUUCUCUUGCACCUUGAGGGGCUAACUCCAUAACUACUCUCUGAUCGUGAGUGAACAGUGGCAAUCAUAAAGCUUUUACCCAUAAACAUGAGAAAAUCCAUGUGUUGUAUUUCAAGACAGAAAGGUCCAAAUUAGAGACUUGCUUAACACGGAUGAGAAAUCAAGGUAUUCGACAUGUUGAGAGAAGGCACUAUAUUCGGGACAAUUUGGUUCCUUAGGCUCAUAUCCACCAAGUGGGUACCACUAGAUUGGGGCAUGCGUUAGAGGAGUUGUCUCUCCUUUUAUACCUUAAUAAUUAUGAUACUUUCUAAUCUCGAUUGACUGACUACUAGAUUUUUUGUACUUUCUCUUUACUGGUUACAAAAAAAGACUAUUUUCUUACUCAUG